UACCAGCACCCCGAGUGGUCGGGACGAUUAUUGGGCCUAAAGCAUCCGUAGCCGGUCAUGCAAGUCUUCCGUUAAAUCCACCCGCUCAACGGUUGGGCUGCGGAGGAUACUACGUGGCUAGGAGGCGGGAGAGGCAAGCGGUACUCAGUGGGUAGGGGUAAAAUCCUUUGAUCCAUUGAAGACCACCAGUGGCGAAGGCGGCUCACUGGCCCGAUACUGACGCUGAGGCACGAAAGCGUGGGGAGCAAACAGG
rnacentral:rRNA from 1 species